rnacentral:rRNA from 1 species
CGACUUGAAGGUUGUGCCCUUGAGGAGCUGUUUCCUGACUAACGCGUUAAGUCGACCGCCUGGGGAGUACGGCCGCAAGGUUAAAACUCAAAUGAAUUGGCGGGGGCCCGCACAAGCGGUGGAGCAUGUGGUUUAAUUCGAUGCAACGGAAGAACCUUACCUACUCUUGACAUCCACGGAAUUCGGCAGAGAUGCCUUAGUGCCUUCGGGAACCGUGAGACAGGUGCUGCAUGGCUGUCGUCAGCUCGUGUUGUGAAAUGUUGGGUUAAGUCCCGCAACGAGCGCAACCCUUAUCCUUUGUUGCCAGCGAUACGGUCGGGAACUCAAAGGAGACUGCCGGUGAUAAACCGGAGGAAGGUGGGGAUGACGUCAAGUCAUCAUGGCCCUUACGAGUAGGGCUACACACGUGCUACAAUGGCGCAUACAAAGAGAAGCGACCUCGCGAGAGCAAGCGGACCUCACAAAGUGCGUCGUAGUCCGGAUCGGAGUCUGCAACUCGACUCCGUGAAGUCGGAAUCGCUAGUAAUCGUGGAUCAGAAUGCCACGGUGAAUACGUUCCCGGGCCUUGUACACACCGCCCGUCACACCAUGGGAGUGGGUUGCAAAAGAAGUAGGUAGCUUAACCUUCGGGAGGGCGCUUACCACUUUGUGAUUCAUGACUGGGG